UUAUUCUCAGCUCCUGUUAAGUCAUUCCUUAUGCUUUAGCUUGUUGAGUUUCUGAAAACAGCUUUUUAACUUAACCUUUGUGUAUUUAUUAUUUUUCCCCCAGACAUUUGAAUGAGAAGCAGUGGGUUAGGACAGAAGAAAGAAUGUUUGACAUCUAGCUGAUAUAUGAAGUAGAAGAAAGUUGGUUUCCAAUUUGCCUUUUUAUAAGAAUAAAAUGGCUCGGUGUGCUGGAGCUGGUCUGGAAAGCAGGAAAACCCAGCUAUAAAAGAACACUGAUGUAGCUUCAAAAUCAAGACCUAACAAGACAAGAUUGUAUGAUUUUUACUAUUUGAGGUGACAGAAAUGGAGUUUUAGAGGGAAAAAAAGGCAAAAAAAAAGAAAAGAAAACAAAAACUGUUGAACAGCUAAGACCUUCUUCUACUGAAGUGUAGCUAUUGAUGGUGGAAGAACUGAACAUUAAAAAAGAGCAACCCAUUUAAAAAACAGCUAGCCAACACAAU
rnacentral:lncRNA from 1 species